AACCUCCGCAAUGUGAGAAAUCGCGACGGGGGGAUCCCAAGUGCCAUUCUUAACGGGAUGGCUUUUCAUUAGUGUAAAGAGCUUUUGGAAUAAGAGCUGGGCAAGACCGGUGCCAGCCGCCGCGGUAACACCGGCAGCUCUAGUGGUAACAAUUUUUAUUGGGCCUAAAGCGUCCGUAGCCGGUUUAAUAAGUCUCUGGUGAAAUCCUGCAGCUUAACUGUGGGAAUUGCUGGAGAUACUAUUAGACUUGAGACCGGGAGAGGUUAGAGGUACUCCCAGGGUAGAGGUGAAAUUCUGUAAUCCUGGGAGGACCGCCUGUUGCGAAGGCGUCUAACUGGAACGGUUCUGACGGUGAGGGACGAAAGUUAGGGGCGCGAACCGGAUUUAGAUACCCGGGUAGUCCUAACUGUAAACGAUGCGGACUUGGUGUUGGGUGGUCUUUGAGCUGCUUCAGUGCCGAAGGGAAGCUGUUAAGUCCGCCGCCUGGGAAGUACGGUCGCAAGACUGAAACUUAAGGAAUU
rnacentral:rRNA from 1 species